GUCAGCUUUGCCGGGAGCUGGUCGGCAAGCAUUUGUAGCAAGCCAGCUGGAGAGGGCUGGGGUGCCUGCCUGUCUCAGAAUGGCCUCCACGCAGGGCUCUCCCUGACUCCACUCUCCUUUCCAAGUCACCUCACACCACAGUGAAAGCAGCAGAGGACUCAGUGGCCCAAAUGCAGGGGAGUCCAUUCCUCUGAUUCCUCUACCAAUGACACCCACUUCCUGCAGGCAUCAGGGCUGAGCCAGGCAUGGGCCAUGCCCUGCCCACUCCAGUGAGAUGGGUCAUUCACGCUGGGAAACCCACGUUACAUGGGACAUCAAGCCGGCUAACCUGCAUUCCCCAAGAUUCAUAUGCUGAGUCUUAACCCCCAGCAGCACAGAACGUGACUGUAUUUGCGGUAGCGCCUUUAAGGAGCUAAUGGAGGUGAAAUGGGGUCACUGGGGUGGCUCCUAAUGUAGUGGGACUGAUGUCCUCUUAAGGAGAGGAAAUUUGGACAGUGACACACACAGAGGCACAACCUUGGGAGGUCACAGGGUGGAGAUGGCAUCCACAAGCCAAGGAGAGAAGCCUCAGGAGAAACCAGCCCUGCAGACACCGUGGACUUGGACUUCCAGCUGCCAGAAUGGGUCCUGACUGCCAGGACAAAAGCCAAAAGCCAUGCUGGAAGCUGUGGGAGGUACAAAGAGAAACACAACCAGCUGGAAAGCACUUCCAGGCCAGCGGUGAAAGUGGAAACAGGAAAGAGUUUAAGAAAUACACAUCUUUCCAGGAAGAUGGGAACAACCGACUUUCUUUACAAACGAAGCAGUUCUCAGGACUGGGUUGCUGCUGCUGCUCACCUGCCGCUGGUCGCUGGGGCUGAGAGGGGCGUUACAGACCCAUUUUACAGAAGAGGAGAAGCCCAUGGUGCAACUGUCUUGGUGGUGAAGGUGGCAGUAGCUCUCACACACUGAGCCCUGGGGUGUAAGAGUUCACUGCACGGUCUCCAGGACUCGUGUAAUCCUCAUGAGAACCCUGCCAGCUACAUAUCUUGUCCUGACACAACAGAGGCGUGAGGGGCUGCAGUGACUCUCACCCAGCCAGGUCUACUUCGAUGAUCCUCGCUGCAACCACUAUGCUUUGGGUCUCUGUUACUCAACACCUACCUUGCCAACACCUAGAAUAGGGUUCAGCCAAGUGGCUGUGGCGAAUGUGGGCUACGUGAGGAUCCUGCUCCAUAAAGACCCCACUCUGGGCUGUCAUUCAGAAUUACUCUGGAAAGAAAGUUGUGGUUCAGCGUGUCGCUUACUGCCAGCGAUCAAAGCAUCCAGGUUUAAUUUUGCCAAUCCCUGGGGGUCCUCGACAUCAGAGGGGCUGGUGGUUGUUGAUCCAUACACAAGCUAGGAGGUAAGGAAGACCCCGGCCCCCCCCGGCUGCUGUCCCCCACACCACUGGAAGACCGGAUGCUGGGCCUUCUGUUUCUCUCCAGGUGUGUGGGCUCGCCCGUGAGAUGGCCUCUUGUUGGAGGGAACACUGGGUCCUGCACCCCCAGGGAAGCUCCCGCGAGGACCGAUUAAACAGUGUUGUCAAUGUCACCAAGACUGCUCUGUAUAAACCAAAUGAAGGCCCUCAGGUCAGAUGAGAUAAUAAAGAGGAUAUUUCUACAGAGAUUCAGUGGGAAUCAAUUCAGUAAGAAAUUAGGAGGAAAAUAAACGGCCCUGAUCACCGAGGGGCCCCGCAGCUGCUCUGUCCUCACGUUUUCUAUCCCGUCAAGCCCUGAGCGACAAGGCAUGUGCUCAAGCAGGAGGCUCGGCUGCCCUUGGUGGGUAUCGGGGUGAGUAUCUGCACCUCCUUCCCUGAUCGGGAGACUUUAUGUCAAUCCACUGGCUUUACUUAGUGCAGUGACACAGGGGAUGGUGGAGGGGCUAAUGGAAGACGAAUGCAUCUGACAUUUCUAGAGCACCGUGGGGGGCCAGUGUUUCUACCCCGCUAGGAAAUAAAUGUGCAAUACCGAGUUUCUGAUGAAUACUGUGAGAAACAGUCCAAGGUUCAAAUUUAACAGCACGGGAAAAUGUCUUUUGAAUCAGAAGAUGAGAACCCAAGGGAGUUGAAUUAACAACAUAGCACAACAUUUUACCAAGUAAUAGGACCAUAUUUCCCCUUUAUGGGGCACUGCUCAGGGCAAUAUUUAAUCUCUUGAGUUUAAUGAACUUUUGAAACUACUCAAUAAAUACUCAAGGCCAUGACAAGCACUGUCAUAAGAUAAAUCCAGCCCUACUUCAAUGGACUAUAUCAUUUCUGUUAUUAAAAAAGGUUAAUUUUAAUAUUCAAGGAACUCAGUUCUCUGGAAAAUCACGUCGGGGCGCCGUGCGUUCCAUCCCGGUGGCGCCCUGUGAUCAUGCAUACUGAGCAGCGUGGGACUCCGAGCGGAAUCGCAGGGGAGCCUCUGCUUCCAGGGAGGCUGCGUCCUGACAGCAAAACACUCGUUUGGUGGAAGGAUCUGCCUCGGGUUCCUGUCCCUCCCCAGCCCAGAGGCAGCAUGUCCGGGUCCCGUGUUAAGGCCACUCACACUGCACGUUAAACCACUGGAGGAGUCCCUGUGACCGUGUCACAUGCCCGGGUUCACCUCCUGCAGCACGGGCUGCCCGACCACCACUUGGUCCUGCAAAGCUCUCUAGGCCUUUCUCCACAGCCCCCGCGAUGCUGAAACCCACGGCAAGCGAGGCGGGGGAAGGGUUGAGAAGUAGCCAGCUCUCCCCUAUCCCAUAAUAUCUCCAUGCUGAGUCACUGGGGCUGUCUUUCUCCCAAUUGCUCAUCUUUGCCUUUCUGCACAAUGCAGGCAGGGGGAAGUGUACCUGGCAGAAAAAAAUCCCAGAGCCCUGCAGGCCCCGGAGCUGCUGUCCCUCCUAGCGUCUCAGUGUACCCAAGGGCUUGCCUCAGGAAAGCUGCCUGACACCAGCAAAUUGGAUGCAGGGCAGGUAAUUAGGGACAGACAAUAUCCUCCCACUGUUAUUUCUUGUCCACCUACGCAAAAGAAGCAGAAGCACUGGUUCUCCGCUUUUCUACCUAAGGAUCGUUCUGCUCACAUUCCCCACGGGAGAGAAGAAGAGCUUUGGACCAACUGUCUUACUAACCAAGCACAGACAUGCUGCAACCAGGAAACAUCCCACAGGAAAUGAGACCAACAGAUACAAAACACACAGCUUUGCUGUCUAAGAAGGAGCCUCCUCUGUUUAGACAAUUGCUGAGCCCCUUACGCCACACGUGCAGAGUGGUGGGGCAUGUGUCUAGCCCUGGCGAUGUCCCUUAGUCCAAUAAAGCGGUUCGGAGGGCGCAGGUGGUGGACAUUCUCAUCUACCGCAGGAAGUGCCCUGGCUAGCAGGUCACCCACAAAAACCAGCUGCCCCCCACCUUUCUCCUGACGCAAGUGUCAGAUCAGAUAGGUUUAGCAAGUCCGGACCCAGCCCAGCCCCGACGGCUUCCAGGCCCCUCAAUACAGCACUCAGCCCCUCUCCCUAAAUGGCACUAAUUCUGUCCACUUGAGUAAAUUAUUGCGUUCCUGGGCUCACUUACUUGGCAAACCACAGAGUGGGCACAUCUUGGGGGUGUUUUCUAGAACAAAUGUCCAAGUGCUCUGAGGCCUGAGGCUGCGUGCAGACCUUCAACCUGGCACCCCAAAAUUCCCCAUGCAGGACAAAAAGAAGCAGACAGGAGCAGUGUGCUGUGGUCAGGCUACCCCCCACUGCGGCACUGCCUCCUCUUCCCCAGCUU
rnacentral:lncRNA from 1 species